AACGCGAAGAACCUUACCUACACUUGACAUCCUCGGAACUUUCUAGAGAUAGAUUGGUGCCUUCGGGAACGCAGUGACAGGUGCUGCAUGGCUGUCGUCAGCUCGUGUCGUGAGAUGUUGGGUUAAGUCCCGUAACGAGCGCAACCCUUAUCCUUAAUUGCCAGCGGUUCGGCCGGGAACUCUAAGGAGACUGCCGAUGACAAAUCGGAGGAAGGUGGGGACGACGUCAAGUCAUCAUGGCCCUUACGUGUAGGGCUACACACGUGCUACAAUGGUCGGUACAAACGGUCGCGAACCCGCGAGGGGAAGCCAAUCCGAGAAAGCCGAUCGUAGUCCGGAUUGGGGUCUGCAACUCGACCCCAUGAAGUCGGAAUCGCUAGUAAUCGUGAAUCAGAAUGUCACGGUGAAUACGUUCCCGGGUCUUGUACACACCG
rnacentral:rRNA from 1 species